rnacentral:other from 1 species
GUUACAAUUAACAAGAAUCCCUAUUAGNAGAAUCCCUAUUAGGGAUUGAAAC